UUGAAGACGACGACGUUGAUAGGCCGGGUGUGUAAGCGCAGCGAUGCGUUGAGCUAACCGGUACUAAUGAACCGUGAGGCUUAACCUUACAACGCCGAAGCUGUUUGG
rnacentral:rRNA from 1 species